GAUGGCGAGUGCGGGCACGACCCCUGGAUCCCGGGACGGGAGUCCUGGACAGCAGAGCCAGCCGGGCAGGCUCGGCCGAGGCCCCGCCCCCUUGGUCCCCUCUCGGGGGUGGGCGGGCGCCGGGUGGGGGCGCCCGGCCUCAGCAGGUCUGUCCCCGCUGGAGCUAGGAGGGUGCCUGCGGCGCGCUGAGCGGACACGCUGCCGAGGUUCGGGCCGCCGGCCCCGUGGGUCGUGGGGAUGGAGGACCCGUGUUCGGCAGGCACUUAGAUGGGCGUGAGGGCGCGGGAGCGGAGGACCCGCAGCUCUGACCUGUUCGAGCGGGCCCAGCGACGCCUGGGCUUUAUGAAGUCAGACCCUGACGUCCCAACACUGGCCCUGUGGGUUUUCUUGGAAUCAUCUCUCGACCUGGGAAUCUGACCUUCUAUGGAAGUUUCCUGGUGGCAGAACCGAAAGGUUUAAGAUUGAUGAAAAGAGGGGACUGCCGGAGGAACACCUGGCAGCUCCAGAGACAGCGCUCUCCCUGCGCUUGAAGUUGAGACCGAGGCUCCAGCAGCAGCCAGCACCCACAGUUGCUGUUGCUGCCAUCUUACCUGACUUGAAUUGUAGGAGUCGCUUCCUUUAGAAGGCUUUGGUUUCAAAUGAUGCAAUAGUGGAUGAGCUGGAGGAGGCGGUUGAUUUCCGUCUAUCUCUUUAAUGCCAGGAAUCCCCUGACACGGAAUACAAUAAAUGUGGGCCGUAAAAUAAACAAAAACAAAACAAGAACUGAACUGCCCCUCCUUCCAUGACUGAGAGACAUAGGGCAAACCGGCUGUCCAGACCCUUGGUUACAGCCUUUCCCUUGCGUUGAGGGUCCCAAGACUGUAGGGUGAAAUAUUUGAAUCUUGGUGUGUUUGUGGGGAAAGAUUUGCUGUACUUAGGGCUAUAUAAUUCUCUAGAUUAGGGCAUUGUUGAGGCAGUGCUAUUAUUAAUUAGCACUGGGAUAAUAGGUGUAAACUGGUACUGUUUCCAACAUACUUUUUGACAAAUGGUCACCCCAGCUAUGCUCACUGCUUACAAGGUGAACGCUAGAGGUGCAUUAGCUGAUGAGAGGAGUUAGGUUUCUGUGGGUGAAACUGUGUGUGGGAAGUUAUGUUUCAGAGUAGCAGAGAGCCUGGCACCUAGUACUUGGUAAAUAAAUAUUUGUUGAAUGAAUGAAAGACUGCAGAAAAGAUGUUGCUUAAAAGCUCUCAGUUUUU